GACGAACGCUGGCGGCGUGCUUAACACAUGCAAGUCAGGGGCUCCGCAAGGGGCACCGGCGAACGGGUGCGUAACACGUGAGCGACCUGCCCUGGAGUGGGGGAUAGCCGGCCCAACGGCCGGGUAACACCGCAUACGCCUCCGGCUUGAAAGCCGAGGGGGAAACGGAAGGCUCUAGGAGGGGCUCGCGGCCUAUCAGCUAGUUGGUGCGGUAACGGCGCACCAAGGUGAUGACGGGUAGCUGGUCUGAGAGGAUGGCCAGCCACAUUGGGACUGAGAGACGGCCCAGACUCCUACGGGAGGCAGCAGUGGGGAAUAUUGCGCAAUGGCCGAAAGGCUGACGCAGCGACGCCGCGUGGGGGAGGAAGGCCUUCGGGUUGUAAACCCCUGUUGCUCGGGACGAAUGCCCCUUUCGAGGGGAGUGACGGUACCGGGUGAGGAAGCACCGGCUAACUCUGUGCCAGCAGCCGCGGUAAUACAGAGGGUGCGAGCGUUGUCCG
rnacentral:rRNA from 1 species